GUGUGUGAGUGUAUGUGUGUGCGACCAGAGCUCAAAGUGGAGUGAUAAGGCUGGUGAAAACAGAACACAUGAGAACACAGCUGGACUAGCUGGGAUCAUGUUUUACUCUAUCCCCUCUACACAAGCACUCUAAAACAAAAGAUUCAUUGGAGCAACAAAGAGUGAAAUGAAUGGAUUUGACUGUGAUUAAUAGCUCACACACACACACACACACACACACACACACACACACACACACACACACACACACACACACACACACACACACACACACACACACACACACACACACACACACACACUCUCUCUCUCUCUCGUACCCCCCUGAAGGUAUAAUUGUGAAGCUGCAUUGAUGUGCUCUGUUAAUUGGCAAUAAAAUUAUAAGUGGAAAGCACAGGGAGCCUGUGGGGUCCACACAAUUACCCAGAUACACAGAGUGUGUGUGUGCGCGUAAAUAUAGAUCUUUUUUAGAGAGGUAGGGGUGUAGCUGUUCCAGUGUUCUGCACCAUGGGAAUUGUGUUUUAGGCUAGAGCCACAUCUGUUUGUAUCCUACCCUCCUACCCCUAUACUGUUUGGGGUUCCAUUUUGGGCCCUCAUUGCCCAAAAUGAAAACUAGGCCCAAUGAGAGAUUACUAGGAAAUAGUUUUUUGUGCGUGUGUGCAUGCUUGUUUGCACUCAUGUAUGUAUGGUGUGUGUGUGUGCACGUGGGAAUGUUGAGUAUGUGGGUGUGUACAGUGUGUGUGGUGUGUGUGUGCACGUGGGUGUGUACAGUAUGUGUGGUGUGUGGGUGCACGUGGGUGUGUACAGUAUGUGUGGGUGCAUGUGGGUGUGUACAGUCUGUGGUGUGUGGGUGCACGUGGGUGUGUACAGUAUGUGUGGGUGCACGUGGGUGUGUACAGUAUGUGUGGUGUGUGGGUGUGUACAGUAUGUGUGGUGUGUGGGUGUGUACAGUAUGUGUGGUGUGUGGGUGUGUACAGUAUGUGUGGUGUGUGUGCAUGUGGGUGUGUACAGUAUGUGUGGUGUGUGGGUGCACGUGGGUGUGUACAGUAUGUGUGGGUGCACGUGGGUGUGUACAGUAUGUGUGGUGUGUGUGUACAGUAUGUGUGGUGUAUGGGUGUGUACAGUGGGUGUGCACAGUGUGUAUGGGUGUGUACAGUAUGUGUGGUGUGUGGGUGUGUACAGUAUGUGUGGUGUGUGUGUACUGUAUGGGUGUGUACAGUAUGUGUGGUGUGUGGGUGUGUACAGUAUGUGUGGUGUGUGGGUGUGUACAGUGUGUGUGGUGUAUGGGUGUGUACAGUAUUUGUGGGUGUGUACAGUAUGUGUGGUGUAUGGGUGUGUACAGUAUGUGUGGGUGUGUACAGUAUGUGUGGUGUGUGUACAGUAUGUGUGGUGUGUACGGUGUGUACAGUAUGUGUGGGUGUGUACAGUAUGUGUGGGUGUGUACAGUGUGUGUGGUGUAUGGGUGUGUACAGUAUGUGUGGGUGUGUACAAUGUGUGUGGUGUGUGGGUGUGUACAGUAUGUGUGGGUGUGUACAGUAUGUGUGGUGUAUGGGUGUGUACAGUAUGUGUGGGUGUGUACAGUAUGUGUGGGUGUGUACAGUGUGUGUGGUGUAUGGGUGUGUACAGUAUGUGUGGGUGUGUACAUUAUGUGUGGUGUAUGGGUGUGUACAGUAUGUGUGGGUGUGUACAGUAUGUGUGGGUGUGUACAGUAUGUGUGGUGUGUGGGUGUGUACAGUAUGUGUGGGUGUGUACAGUAUGUGUGGUGUGUGGGUGUGUACAGUAUGUGUGGUGUGUGGGUGUGUACAGUAUGUGUGGUGUGUGGGUGUGUACAGUAUGUAUGGUGUAUGGGUGUGUACAGUAUGUGUGGUGUGUGGGUGUGUUCAGUAUGUGUGGUGUAUAGGUGUGUACAGUAUGUGUGGUGUAUGGGUGUGUACAGUAUGUGUGGUGUAUGGGUGUGUACAGUAUGUGUGGUGUAUGGGUGUGUACAGUAUGUGUGGUGUGUGGGUGUGUACAGUAUGUGUGGUGUGUGGGUGUGUACAGUAUGGGUGUGUACAGUAUGUGUGGUGUGUGGGUGUGUACAGUAUGGGUGUGUACAGUAUGUGUGGUGUGUGGGUGUAUACAGUAUGGGUGUGUACAGUAUGUGUGGUGUGUAUGGGUGUGUACAGUAUGUGUGGUGUGUGGGUGUGUACAGUAUGUGUGGGUGUGUACAGUAUGGGUGUGUACAGUAUGUGUGGUGUAUGGGUGUGUACAGUAUGUGUGGUGUAUGGGUGUGUACAGUAUGUGUGGUGUGUGGGUGUGUACAGUAUGUGUGGUGUGUGGGUGUGUACAGUAUGGGUGUGUACAGUAUGUGUGGUGUGUGGGUGUGUGUCUAUAGCCUCCUCUGCUGUGUUGUAGAAUAUUAAUGUCCUCUGCACACUCACGUCUGAAUGGCGCGCAUGCUACGAUGACUGGGGAUUUGGGAUAUAAACCAUACCAUUUAUUCCCUCUACUCUGUCUGUCUCUAUUACUCGUGUGUGUGUGUGUGUGUGUGUGUGUGUGUGUGUGUGUGUGUGUGUGUGUGUGUGUGUGUGUGUGUGUGUGUGUGUGUGUGUGUGUGUGUGUGUGUACGUCCACAGCUCCAGAGCACAUUGCCCUGUGGGAAGCUGGCCGGUGAUGAACUCGGCACUCGAGGGUGGAGAGCACAGCAUUGGAAGGGUUGGGGAGGCGGGUCGUUUGGGCCGUUCGUUGGACCCGGUCUGGGUGUGUCAAGCAGAAGCUGGUCUUAUUGGUCUUAUUUCAUCCAGUGUUUUUCACGCCAACCCUUGUUGCACAUAUCCCCUGUUGCUGGUCAGGACUGGGCCUGUCUAACCAGUGUAGGAAAAAAGCACACAAUGGGAGAACUUCCAAACCAACAGAGUUUGAGCUCAACUGUAGAUGGUCCAUGGCAGCACACAUCUGUGUUUUGUACUGUACUGUUUUUUGUAUUGCAUAUUAUUUUUUUCAGACUUAGCUAAAUUAUGAUUCAUUUGUGAUGUUUGCCAUAACUGCCUCCCUGCAUUGUCAGUUUGAUUGUACAAUUCUCCCCAAAGCACUGAAUGUUCAGUACCAUGACAACCACUAUUCUUGCUUUCUCAAUCAUCCAGUAAGUGAAUUAAAAUGGUUUGCUACAAUGUGUUGUGGGGUAUUUUUCCAGACUGGGUAAUUCUAUUGGUCUCUGUGUUUGUGAGCAUGAGAGUGUGUAUGGUUUUUAGUGAAACUUUUGUGUUCUAGUAUGUGAGUGUUUGUUUGGAAUAGUUUGUGAGCGUGGCACUGUGAUGUGUCCUACACUAGUUUGGGAAGAGGCCAGUUUUACUCCUGUGUGUUGGGAGCAUCUCUGAGGUGACAUCACAGACAGUGUCCAGGAAUACCUAUGGACCAGGGAUGAGUGUGUUCAGCUGUUUGUCAGGCAGCGCUAGGAGGGGAGAGGGGGAUGAGGGGAGGAGUCGGCUGCAGAGGGAGGGAUUAAACCAACCUGCAGUGCUGCAGUGGAAUCAUGCAAAUGAACAAAGCUGGGAGAAGGUCACCAGGUUAAACAGGUGGGCAGUGGAGGAGGAAGCCGAGCAAUAACAGUGUGUGUGUGUGUUUACCAUAUCUGCAUUAAUCAGUGGUGUUAAUGCCAAGCUCCACUGCGUACCCGAGCUGCCACUCAACAGCUGAUUGGUACAAAAGACAAAACUACUGAAAUAGUUGUUUUUAAAUGGAAGUACAAUCACCCAUAUUCACCACACAGCAAUCAGACUUGAGCAAUCACUGAAUUUACAGUAAAGGCAAGAAUACAGGGAGGCAUUUUGACUUAGUUGUUCAUAGUCAGGGUUGUUCUGCUCUACAUUGAACAAACUGAUAAUGUGGUAUUGAUUGUAGAUGCAGAGAGAAAUGUAGAUACUGUGUUCAUGUCUUUGUGUGAUAGACGUGCCUGCCAUAAUGCAGAUGAAACUGGUUUUAGAGCUUCUAACUGUUUAUAUGACAAUGCGUGUGCUGUGACUAAGUCUUCAGUUACAUGUAUGCAUGUAAAGUGUGUGGUGCACUAGGGCUGGCUGAUAUGGCCUAAAAAUCAUAUCUCUAUUUUUUUCACUUAUGGGCGAUUCAUGAUAUACAGUAUCUAGAUUAUUUGAAGUUUUUUCUAGCUAAGCUUUGUUGUACAAUUAAAGGUCAAAUACACUGCAUUUCAAAAAGUCAGCAAUAAUCGAAUAAAUUCAGGGCUUGUGAAAUUAUGACUAGGCUAAAUAUAAUUAUUUUAUCUAAAUAUUUUAACUGGCUUUUUUUUGCAAUAAUCACUGAUCUGUCUUUCAAGUCUGUCUAUGAGAAAGCCGUUUUUGUUAAAAACCAUGCAUAAUGUACAUUCACUAAUAAUGACUAACUUAUUGUAGCAGGCAUUAUAUAAAAUUAACACAGGCCUCAAACUAAUCUUUAUAUUUCAGGUUUAGCCAACUUGGAUCUACAGUAUUUGCUAGCUUACAAGGCAAAACCGUUAAAUUGUUAUGAACGCAUCCUUCUGUCCGUCUCCAACUGUUUGACCAGCAUGUUAGCCUGUCCACUGUCAUUCUGUGCAGAGCAUUACAUUUCCAGAAUCAAUGCUCAUUGAGACUCCAGUUUUAGAGAAGUUGAGACAUAAAAAGAGUAUCAAUACCUUCUACUCUAUUACAGUAAAAUAAUGUCUCAAUGUGUUUCGGUGUCCAUAUGACCCAUUCUGUUGGACCACCAAACUUCAAAUGCAAAUAACGUGUUGAAAGCGCUUAUCAGAGAGGAAGAAGUGAUCUCAUCUUUGCUUUGAGAGGCAGGGGGAGGGGCUUGGUGUGUGUGCAAAUGGGAAGGUGCACACCGCCAGAGAUCUGUAUAUAAUGAUGAGAUACUCAUGUCUCCACCCUAACAAUGGGAGUCAUUGUCCCAAAGGUGGGAAGGACGGCGACAAGUUUAGGUAAAAAAUAAGCCCAUGAAAACGCAUUGAGUUUAUUUUGGACAGAUUCUGGAGAGAGUGAAACUUCUCGCUCCGCCUCUUCCUCUCUGACACAGCACAGAACGAGUGAAGGAGACGAGACCAAAAAGACAACAAGAGGACAUAAACACUCAUUAAACACACUCAUCUACUGUCAAAUCUACCAUUCCAGUGUUUUAAUUGCUAUAUUGUAUGUACUUCACCACCAUGGCCUAUUUAUUGCAUUUACCUCCCUUAUCUCACCUCAUUUGCUCACAUUGUAUAUAGACUUAUUUUUCUACUGUAUUAUUGACUGUAUGUUUGUUUUACUCCAUGUGUAACUCUGUGUUGUUAUAUGUGUCGAACUGCUUUGCUUUACCUUGGCCAGGUCGCAG
rnacentral:lncRNA from 1 species